AACAGUACCUUAAAGACUAUCAGACUUUUGUUGGCACAGCCCGUUACUGGACAGAAACUUUUGCCAAGAUCUCAUCUCUUGGGGUUGAGGAAAAGGUGCAGAAACUUGUUGAGAUGGGCUUCCAUGAAGCUAUACUCAGUAUGAACAUUUUGUAUCUUUGAUAAGACGAUCAGCGUGCUUUGUUCUGGCUAAGAAAGGAUUGGAAGCCAAUGCUUAUUGUUUUAUCAAGAUGCAGAAGGUUCAUACGAGUAUAGGGUUUCCUAAUUUAGUCUCUGUUGAACAUGGCUGCUGAUGAAGCCGGA
rnacentral:misc_RNA from 1 species